rnacentral:rRNA from 1 species
UACGUAGGGUGCGAGCGUUAAUCGGAAUUACUGGGCGUAAAGCGUGCGCAGGCGGUAAGUUAAGUCUGAUGUGAAAGCCCCGGGCUCAACCUGGGAAUGGCAUUGGAAACUGGCUUGCUGGAGUGUGGCAGAGGGGGGUGGAAUUCCGCGUGUAGCAGUGAAAUGCGUAGAGAUGCGGAGGAACACCGAUGGCGAAGGCAGCCCCCUGGGCCAACACUGACGCUCAGGUACGAAAGCGUGGGGAGCAAACAGG